AUGGGGGGUCCACAGCCCUAUAGGCCCCAUAGAGCCCUAUAUGGGGGGGUCCCCAGCCCUAUAGGCCCCAUAGAGGCCUAUAUGGGGGGUCCCCAGCCCUAUAGGACCCCCCUGACCCCCCCUAUAACUUAUAGGGUCCAUCGGGUGAGUCCGGCCCCCCCGGACCCCCAGGGAAGGACGGACCCGCAGGACUCAGGGGCUUCCCAGGAGAGAGGGGGCUGCCCGGGACUGCGGUCAGUGCUGCCCCAUAGCUGCCCCAUAGCUGCCCCAUAGCUGCCCCAUAGCUGCCCUAUAGCUGCCCCAUAGCUGCCCUAUAGCUGCCCCAUAGCUGCCCCAUAGCUGCCCCAUAGCUGCCCUAUAGCUGCCCUAUAUCUGCCCUAUAUCUGCCCCAUAUCUGCCCCAUAUCUGCCCUAUAGCUGCCCUAUAGCUGCCCCAUAGCUGCCCUAUAUCUGCCCCAUAGCUGCCCCAUAGCUGCCCCAUAGCUGCCCUAUAUCGGCCCCAUAGCUGCCCUAUAGCUGCCCCAUAGCUGCUCCAUAGCUGCCCUAUAGCUGCCCCAUAACUGCCCCAUAGCUGCCCUAUAUCUGCCCCAUAGCUGCCCCAUAGCUGCCCCAUAGCUGCCCUAUAUCUGCCCUAUAGCUGCCCCAUAGCUGCCCUAUAUCUGCCCUAUAUCUGCCCCAUAGCUGCCCUAUAUCUGCCCUAUAGCUGCCCCAUAGCUGCCCCAUAGCUGCCCUAUAUCUGCCCCAUAGCUGCCCCAUAGCUGCCCUAUAGCUGCCCCAUAGCUGCCCUAUAUCUGCUCCAUAGCUGCCCUAUAUCUGCCCCAUAGCUGCCCUAUAUCUGCCCUAUAUCGGCCCCAUAGCUGCCCUAUAGCUGCCCUAUAGCUGCCCUAUAGCUGCCCCAUAGCUGCCCCAUAGCUGCCCUAUAGCUGCCCCAUAGCUGCCCUAUAUCUGCCCUAUAGCUGCCCCAUAGCUGCCCUAUAGCUGCCCCGUAGCUGCCCCAUAGCUGCCCCAUAGCUGCCCUAUAUCUGCCCCGUAGCUGCCCCAUAGCUGCCCCAUAGCUGCCCUAUAGCUGCCCCAUAGCUGCCCCAUAGCUGCCCCAUAGCUGCCCUAUAGCUGCCCCAUAGCUGCCCUAUAGCUGCCCUAUAGCUGCCCCAUAUCUGCCCUAUAGCUGCCCUAUAGCUGCCCCAUAGCUGCCCUAUAUCUGCCCUAUAUCUGCCCCAUAGCUGCCCUAUAGCUGCCCUAUAUCGGCCCUAUAGCUGCCCUAUAGGUGCCCCAUA
rnacentral:lncRNA from 1 species